rnacentral:rRNA from 2 species
UGCGUGCUAUACAUGCAGUCGAACGAGUUCUCGUUGAUGAUCGGUGCUUGCACCGAGAUUCAACAUGGAACGAGUGGCGGACGGGUGAGUAACACGUGGGUAACCUGCCCUUAAGUGGGGGAUAACAUUUGGAAACAGAUGCUAAUACCGCAUAGAUCCAAGAACCGCAUGGUUCUUGGCUGAAAGAUGGCGUAAGCUAUCGCUUUUGGAUGGACCCGCGGCGUAUUAGCUAGUUGGUGAGGUAAUGGCUCACCAAGGCGAUGAUACGUAGCCGAACUGAGAGGUUGAUCGGCCACAUUGGGACUGAGACACGGCCCAAACUCCUACGGGAGGCAGCAGUAGGGAAUCUUCCACAAUGGACGCAAGUCUGAUGGAGCAACGCCGCGUGAGUGAAGAAGGCUUUCGGGUCGUAAAACUCUGUUGUUGGAGAAGAAUGGUCGGCAGAGUAACUGUUGUCGGCGUGACGGUAUCCAACCAGAAAGCCACGGCUAACUACGUGCCAGCAGCCGCGGUAAUACGUAGGUGGCAAGCGUUAUCCGGAUUUAUUGGGCGUAAAGCGAGCGCAGGCGGUUUUUUAAGUCUGAUGUGAAAGCCCUCGGCUUAACCGAGGAAGCGCAUCGGAAACUGGGAAACUUGAGUGCAGAAGAGGACAGUGGAACUCCAUGUGUAGCGGUGAAAUGCGUAGAUAUAUGGAAGAACACCAGUGGCGAAGGCGGCUGUCUGGUCUGUAACUGACGCUGAGGCUCGAAAGCAUGGGUAGCGAACAGGAUUAGAUACCCUGGUAGUCCAUGCCGUAAACGAUGAAUGCUAGGUGUUGGAGGGUUUCCGCCCUUCAGUGCCGCAGCUAACGCAUUAAGCAUUCCGCCUGGGGAGUACGACCGCAAGGUUGAAACUCAAAGGAAUUGACGGGGGCCCGCACAAGCGGUGGAGCAUGUGGUUUAAUUCGAAGCAACGCGAAGAACCUUACCAGGUCUUGACAUCUUUUGAUCACCUGAGAGAUCAGGUUUCCCCUUCGGGGGCAAAAUGACAGGUGGUGCAUGGUUGUCGUCAGCUCGUGUCGUGAGAUGUUGGGUUAAGUCCCGCAACGAGCGCAACCCUUAUGACUAGUUGCCAGCAUUUAGUUGGGCACUCUAGUAAGACUGCCGGUGACAAACCGGAGGAAGGUGGGGAUGACGUCAAAUCAUCAUGCCCCUUAUGACCUGGGCUACACACGUGCUACAAUGGAUGGUACAACGAGUUGCGAGACCGCGAGGUCAAGCUAAUCUCUUAAAGCCAUUCUCAGUUCGGACUGUAGGCUGCAACUCGCCUACACGAAGUCGGAAUCGCUAGUAAUCGCGGAUCAGCACGCCGCGGUGAAUACGUUCCCGGGCCUUGUACACACCGCCCGUCACACCAUGAGAGUUUGUAACACCCGAAGCCGGUGGCGUAACCCUUUUAGGGAGCGAGCCGUCUAAGGUGACAAU